GCAAGUCGAACGAGAAAGCCUGAAGCUUGCUUUGGGCGAGUAAAGUGGCGCACGGGUGAGUAACGCGUGGGUAAUUUACCUUUGAAUUUGGGAUAACGUGCCGAAAGGCACGCUAAUACCGGAUAAGAUCAUAUGCACUUAGGUGCAAGUGAUAAAAGAUGGCCUCUAUAUAUAAGCUGUCGUUUGGAGAUAAGCCCGCGUACCAUUAGCUAGUUGGUAGGGUAAAGGCUUACCAAGGCGACGAUGGUUAGCUGGUCUGAGAGGAUGAUC
rnacentral:rRNA from 1 species